UAUGACCACAUCAUGUUGAAGCAUCAGUUCCCAUACAACCUCCAAAGUUAAGCAACAUGGAGCCUGGACAGUACCUAGAUGGGUGACCAUUUGAGAAUACCAUGUGCCAU